rnacentral:rRNA from 1 species
CGACCGGCGCACGGGUGAGUAACACGUAUGCAACCUGCCCUCUUCAGGGGGACAACCUUCCGAAAGGGAGGCUAAUCCCGCGUAUAUCGGUUUCGGGCAUCCGAGAUCGAGGAAAGAUUCAUCGGAAGAGGAUGGGCAUGCGGCGCAUUAGCUAGACGGCGGGGUAACGGCCCACCGUGGCGAUGAUGCGUAGGGGUUCUGAGAGGAAGGUCCCCCACACUGGUACUGAGACACGGACCAGACUCCUACGGGAGGCAGCAG